GGAUAACUUGCUACUUAUUAACAAGUACACCAUGGGUAUUAGCAGUGCAAGCUUCCCUAUAUUGUCCUAUCAAUGUGCCUCAAAGCUUGAGUUGGUGGGACUGCCUUGAAGAAUAAAAAAGGAAUUCAUGCCUGAUCAACCUUGACUUCU
ensembl:misc_RNA